GCUGGGUGUGGUGGUGCGCACCUGUAAUCCCAGCUACUUGGGAGGCUGAGGUGGGAGAAUUGCUUGAACCCAGGAGGCAGAGGUUGCAGUGAGCUGAGAUUGCAUCACUGCACUUCAGCCUGGGCAACAGAGUGAGACUCUGUCUCAA
ensembl:misc_RNA Metazoa_SRP Metazoan signal recognition particle RNA